CGGGGUGUGGCGCAGUCUGGUAGCGCACCCGUUUUGGGUACGGGUGGUCGGGGGUUCAAAUCCUCUCGCCCCGACCA
rnacentral:tRNA from 1 species